rnacentral:rRNA from 1 species
CCUACGGGAGGCUGCAGUGAGGAAUAUUGGUCAAUGGCCGGAAGGCUGAACCAGCCAUGCCGCGUGAAGGUCAGUGCCCUAUGGGCGUUAAACUUCUUUUGUGCGGGAGCAAUAGUGGUCACGUGUGGCCAGACGAGAGUACCGUACGAAUAAGCAUCGGCUAACUCCGUGCCAGCAGCCGCGGGAAUACGGGGGAUGCAAGCGUUAUCCGGAUUUAUUGGGUUUAAAGGGUGCGUAGGGUGUGAGGUAAGUCAGCGGUGAAAUGCCCCGGGUCAACGGGGUGAAGUGCCAUUGAUACUGCCUGGCUGGAAUGCGGAUGCCGUGGGAGGAAUGUGUGGUGUAGCGGUGAAAUGCAUAGAUAUCACACAGAACACCGAUUGCGAAGGCAUCUCACGAAUCCGCGAUUGACGCUGAUGCACGAAGGCGUGGGUAUCAAACAGGAUUAGAUACCCCAGUAGUC